rnacentral:misc_RNA from 1 species
GAAAUGCGAUAAGUAAUGUGAAUUGCAGAAUUCAGUGAAUCAUCGAAUCUUUGAACGCAUCUUGCGCUCCUUGGUACUCCGAGGAGCAUGCCUGUUUGAGUGUCAUUUUAACUUCUCAACUGUGUGCCCCCUGGUGCAUGGCUUGGAUUGGUGGGUGUUUGCAGGCUUUUAAAGGUCAGCUCGCCUGAAAUGAAUUAGUGGUAUCUGAGUGGGGGUUACUACAGGUGUGAUAAUCGUCUACACCUUUCGGUACUUCUGCAAUCGAACUGCUUCUAAUGGACUCCUUUUUGAAAAAUUUGACCUCAAAUCAGGUAGGACUACCCGCUGAACUUAA